rnacentral:ncRNA from 2 species
UGAAUAUUUGUGGGAACAGGUGCUUCAGCAAGCUGAAGCUUAAAAGGGAAGUUCGGUGCAAUACCGACGCGGUCCCGCCACUGUAACGGAGAAGUCCUCAACGAUUAUGCCACUGAUCUUAGCAAUGUCAAGAUUGGGAAGGCCGUUGAUGAUCAUGAUCCCGAAGCCAGGAGACCUGCCAGUUCUGACAACACUGC